AGAGUUUGAUCCUGGCUCAGGAUGAACGCUAGCGACAGGCUUAACACAUGCAAGUCGAGGGGCAGCGAGGGAGUGGCAACACUUCUGUCGGCGACCGGCGCACGGGUGAGUAACGCGUAUGCAACCUGCCCUUCACAGGGGGAUAACCGGGAGAAAUUCCGACUAAUACCGCAUACGUCCCCUGGGGGCAUCCCCUGGGGAUGAAAGAAUUAUCGGUGAAGGAUGGGCAUGCGUGAUAGUUAGGUAGUUGGCGGGGCAACGGGCCCACCAAGCCCACGGAUAUCUAGGGGUUCUGAGAGGAAGGUCCCCCCGACAUUGGGUACUGAGACACGGACCAAACUCCUACGGGAGCA
rnacentral:rRNA from 1 species